rnacentral:snRNA from 1 species
AGCGCUUCUCGGCCUUUUGGCUAAGAUCAUGUGUAGUAUCUGUUCUUGUCAGUUUAAUAUCUGAUAUGUCCCCUACCCAGGGACCAUAUAUUAAAUAGGUACGAAAACUAAC